AACGAACGCUGGCGGCAGGCUUAACACAUGCAAGUCGAACGGUUGUAGCAAUACAGCAGUGGCGCACGGGUGAGUAACGCGUGGAUAUCUGCCUUUUGGUUCGGAAUAACUCCGGGAAACUGGAGCUAAUACCGGAUGGUUCCUACGGGAUAAAGAUUUAUCGCCAAAAGAUGAGUCCGCGUACGAUUAGCUAGUUGGCGGGGUAAUGGCCCACCAAGGCGACGAUCGUUAGCUGGUCUGAGAGGACGAUCAGCCACACUGGGACUGAGACACGGCCCAGACUCCUACGGGAGGCAGCAGUGGGGAAUAUUGGACAAUGGGGGCAACCCUGAUCCAGCCAUGCCGCGUGAGUGAUGAAGGCCUUCGGGUUGUAAAGCUCUUUUGGCGGGGACGAUGAUGACGGUACCCGCAGAAUAAGCCCCGGCUAACUUCGUGCCAGCCGCCGCGGUAAAAC
rnacentral:rRNA from 1 species